UACGUAGGGUGCAGGCGUUAAUCGGAAUUACUGGGCGUAAAGCGUGCGCAGGCGGUCUUUUAAGUCAGAUGUGAAAUCCCCGGGCUUAACCUGGGAACUGCGUUUGAAACUGGAAGGCUAGAGUGCGGUAGGGGAGCGGGGAAUUCCUGGUGUAGCGGUGAAAUGCGCAGAUAUCGGGAGGAACACCAAUGGCGAAGGCAGCUCGCUGGGACGGUACUGACGCUGAGACGCGAAAGAGUGGGGAGCAAACAGG
rnacentral:rRNA from 1 species